rnacentral:rRNA from 1 species
GGACGAAGUCUGACCGAGCACGCCGCGUGAGUGAAGAAGGUUUUCGGAUCGUAAAACUCUGUUGUUAGAGAAGAACAAGGAUGAGAGUAACUGUUCAUCCCUUGACGGUAUCUAACCAGAAAGCCACGGCUAACUACGUGCCAGCAGCCGCGGUAAUACGUAGGUGGCAAGCGUUGUCCGGAUUUAUUGGGCGUAAAGCGAGCGCAGGCGGUUUCUUAAGUCUGAUGUGAAAGCCCCCGGCUCAACCGGGGAGGGUCAUUGGAAACUGGGAGACUUGAGUGCAGAAGAGGAGAGUGGAAUUCCAUGUGUAGCGGUGAAAUGCGUAGAUAUAUGGAGGAACACCAGUGGCGAAGGCGGCUCUCUGGUCUGUAACUGACGCUGAGGCUCGAAAGCGUGGGGAGCAAACAGGAUUAGAUACCCUGGUAGUCCACGCCGUAAACGAUGAGUGCUAAGUGUUGGAGGGUUUCCGCCCUUCAGUGCUGCAGCUAACGCAUUAAGCACUCCGCCUGGGGAGUACGACCGCAAGGUUGAAACUCA